rnacentral:rRNA from 1 species
GACGAACGCUGGCGGCGUGCCUAAUACAUGCAAGUCGAACGCUUCUUUCCUCCCGAGUGCUUGCACUCAAUUGGAAAGAGGAGUGGCGGACGGGUGAGUAACACGUGGGUAACCUACCCAUCAGAGGGGGAUAACACUUGGAAACAGGUGCUAAUACCGCAUAACAGUUUAUGCCGCAUGGCAUAAGAGUGAAAGGCGCUUUCGGGUGUCGCUGAUGGAUGGACCCGCGGUGCAUUAGCUAGUUGGUGAGGUAACGGCUCACCAAGGCCACGAUGCAUAGUCGACCUGAGAGGGUGAUAGGCCACACUGGGACUGAGACACGGCCCAGACUCCUACGGGAGGCAGCAGUAGGGAAUCUUCGGCAAUGGACGAAAGUCUGACCGAGCAACGCCGCGUGAGUGAAGAAGGUUUUCGGAUCGUAAAACUCUGUUGUUAGAGAAGAACAAGGACGUUAGUAACUGAACGUCCCCUGACGGUAUCUAACCAGAAAGCCACGGCUAACUACGUG